GACGAACGCUGGCGGCGUGCUUAACACAUGCAAGUCGAACGAAGAGCGAUGGAAGCUUGCUUCUAUCAAUCUUAGUGGCGAACGGGUGAGUAACGCGUAAUCAACCUGCCCUUCAGAGGGGGACAACAGUUGGAAACGGCUGCUAAUACCGCAUACGAUCUAAUCUCGGCAUCGAGGAUAGAUGAAAGGUGGCCUCUACAUGUAAGCUAUCACUGAAGGAGGGGAUUGCGUCUGAUUAGCUAGUUGGAGGGGUAACGGCCCACCAAGGCGAUGAUCAGUAGCCGGUCUGAGAGGAUGAACGGCCACAUUGGGACUGAGACACGGCCCAGACUCCUACGGGAGGCAGCAGUGGGGAAUCUUCCGCAAUGGACGAAAGUCUGACGGAGCAACGCCGCGUGAGUGAUGACGGCCUUCGGGUUGUAAAGCUCUGUUAAUCGGGACGAAAGGCCUUCUUGC
rnacentral:rRNA from 1 species